rnacentral:rRNA from 1 species
UACGUAGGGCGCAAGCGUUAUCCGGAAUUAUUGGGCGUAAAGAGCUCGUAGGCGGCUUGUCGCGUCGGAUGUGAAAGCCCGGGGCUUAACUCCGGGUCUGCAUUCGAUACGGGCAGGCUAGAGUUCGGUAGGGGAGGUCGGAAUUCCUGGUGUAGCGGUGAAAUGCGCAGAUAUCAGGAGGAACACCGGUGGCGAAGGCGGAUCUCUGGGCCGAUACUGACGCUGAGGAGCGAAAGCGUGGGGAGCGAACAGG